GAUGAACGCUAGCGGCAGGCCUAAUACAUGCAAGUCGAACGGGCGGUAGCAAUACCGCUAGUGGCGCACGGGUGCGUAACGCGUAACCAACCUGCCCAGAUCUGGGGGAUAGCCCGCCGAAAGGCGGAUUAAUACCGCAUAAACCCACAGUGUGGCAUCACAUAAUGGGUAAAGAUUUAUCGGAUCUGGAUGGGGUUGCGUAGCAUUAGCUAGUUGGCGGGGUAAUGGCCCACCAAGGCGACGAUGCUUAGGGGACCUGAGAGGGGGAUCCCCCACACUGGCACUGAGAGACGGGCCAGACUCCUACGGGAGGCAGCAGUAGGGAAUAUUGGGCAAUGGGCGAGAGCCUGACCCAGCCAUGCCGCGUGCCGGAUGAAGGCCUUCUGGGUUGUAAACGGCUUUUCUCAGGGAAGAAAACGGGGAUGCGUCCUCAACUGACGGUACCUGAGGAAUAAGCACCGGCUAACUCCGUG
rnacentral:rRNA from 1 species